AGCAAGGAAGAUUAAGGAAGAACAGAUGAGGAGAUUAUACAAGAGACAUUGUUGUGACAUCAAUCCACAUUGAAUCUGAUUAAAGUCAAUCACCGACUUACGAGACCUCAUCAUUGUGACAUCAUUCCACAUUGUCUCCAGUUUGGGGCAAUCACUCAAUUACAGACUGCAACCCUGAAGAAGCAGAAAGAGGAAUUUCUGAGACCACUCUGGGGCUUUUUGUGAUUCGCAAAGAAGGUGCUGGUGCUGAGGAUGAGCCGGGUGAUGUUGGAGUUGUGAUAGAGGGUGUAAAGCUGCUACAACACUUAAAGAGUAUUUCCUUUGGAUUAGUAAUGCUCUUCGGACUGAUCUACGCUCUCAACUUAAGCUACCCUCAAAGUCUCAAGUUCACAUUUGAAUUCUUCCAGAAGGUACUGAUGAAUUUAGAUGGCAGCAAGCUUUCCCCAAAGGUUCAAGCACUUCAAAUGUAAAUGUUUCAGUGAAUAGGACAUUCACUGUUUGCCUACAUGUUUCCAACAACUGGAGGGACAUUGAAAACUUUUAGACAAGAAUGCCCUGAAAAAAAUAUUUCUACAAACUGAUGACACUAACUCCAGCAUGCAAGAGACUGCACUUUCCUGCUUCCUGUAGCUCUGAAACUUUUGAUACAGGAGAUGUUACUUAUAUUGCUAUUGAGUCCAGGAAGUCAACUUUUCAGAUGACUCGUUUUCCAGUAGCGUUGAGGGUGUCUUGGGUUACGUCUCCAGUUCUUGGCCUCGUUGUAGUAGUUUCUCGUUUUUCAUGUUCUGCUUAAAUUCAGUUUCAGAGAGCUAAAACAGAGUUCAACAAAAGUGGAAUGCUACUUAUUCCACCACCCAAACAAAGGUCUGACAUUCUUGAAGGCAUGGCUGAGGAGAUCUUUUAGUAUGCAGCAUACCCCUCUGCAGUGAGUUGGACACGUUUUAAUGGCCUAAAUGCUGAAAUGUGAAAACCUGUUAUAUGUAUUAAAAAAAGUGUUGAAAACUUGAUAUAUGUGAAGUAAAAUAUUUGCUUUUCUUUUUUCCCAUUUAUUUUAAUUUAUUUAUUUUAUUGUAUUUUUCUCUAAGGGU